rnacentral:rRNA from 1 species
GAGUUUGAUCCUGGCUCAGAUUGAACGCUGGCGGCAUGCCUAACACAUGCAAGUCGAACGGUAACAGGUCUUCGGAUGCUGACGAGUGGCGGACGGGUGAGUAAUGCGUAGGAAUCUGUCUUUUAGUGGGGGACAACCCAGGGAAACUUGGGCUAAUACCGCAUGAGCCCUGAGGGGGAAAGCGGGGGAUCCUCGGACCUCGCGCUAAGAGAGGAGCCUACGUCCGAUUAGCUAGUUGGCGGGGUAAAGGCCCACCAAGGCGACGAUCGGUAGCUGGUCUGAGAGGACGACCAGCCACACUGGGACUGAGACACGGCCCAGACUCCUACGGGAGGCAGCAGUGGGGAAUUUUUCGCAAUGGGGGCAACCCUGACGAAGCAAUGCCGCGUGGAUGAAGAAGGCCUUCGGGUUGUAAAGUCCUUUCGUGGAGGACGAAAAGGUGGGUUCUAAUACAAUCUGCUAUUGACGUGAAUCCAAGAAGAAGCACCGGCUAACUCCGUGCCAGCAGCCGCGGUAAUACGGGGGGUGCAAGCGUUAAUCGGAAUCACUGGGCGUA